rnacentral:rRNA from 1 species
UACGUAGGGUGCGAGCGUUAAUCGGAAUUACUGGGCGUAAAGCGUGCGCAGGCGGUUCGUGAUGUCUGGUGUGAAAGCCCCGGGCUUAACCUGGGAAUUGCAUUGGAAACUAGCGGGGCUGGAGUGUGGCAGAGGGGGGUGGAAUUCCACGUGUAGCAGUGAAAUGCGUAGAGAUGUGGAGGAACACCGAUGGCGAAGGCAGCCCCCUGGGUCAAGAUUGACGCUCAUGCACGAAAGCGUGGGGAGCAAACAGG